UCUGACCGAGCGAUGCCGCGUGAGUGAAGAAGGUCUUCGGAUUGUAAAGCUCUGUGAUUAGGGAAGAAGGCUAUUAGGAGGGAAUGCCUAAUAGGUGACGGUACCUAAUUAGAAAGCCACGGCUAACUACGUGCCAGCAGCCGCGGUAAUUA
rnacentral:rRNA from 1 species